AGUUCAUGUGUUAUAAAUACAGACAGAGAGAGCAUGAUGCUCACAGUUUAACCCUCCUGUAACAGAUUAAUCUACCUGCUAACCCGAGAAAAACAUGAGCACUCCAGAUGCUACCACCCCUGCAGUCGGAGAUAAGGAGGGGAAGGGAAAGAAAGGAGAUGGAAAAGCUGCAUGUGAUCAUGGGAAGGCCGGCGAACAUGGGAAGUCCGGCGAACAUGGGAAGUCCGGCGAACAUGGGAAGGCAGGCGAACAUGGGAAGGCAGGCGAACAUGGAAAAUCUGGCGGAAGAGGUGGUGGUAAACAUUAAUUGAAAAACAUUGUUCCUUAACUGUUAUAAACUCUGACAUAAUCCACUGUAAAAAGUAUGGACAUGUAUCUAUGUAUUAAAACUAUUCAGAGCCA